rnacentral:tRNA from 1 species
GGGGAUCUAGCUCAAAUGGUAGAGCGCUCGCUUAGCAUCUGAGAGGUACUGGGAUUAAUGCCCAGGUCCUCCA